rnacentral:rRNA from 1 species
CUGCGAAUACCGGAGAAUGUUAUCACGGGAGACACACGGCGGGUGCUAACGUCCGUCGUGAAGAGGGAAACAACCCAGACCGCCAGCUAAGGUCCCAAAGUCAUGGUUAAGUGGGAAACGAUGUGGGAAGGCCCAGACAGCCAGGAUGUUGGCUUAGAAGCAGCCAUCAUUUAAAGAAAGCGUAAUAGCUCACUGGUCGAGUCGGCCUGCGCGGAAGAUGUAACGGGGCUAAACCAUGCACCGAAGCUGCGGCAGCGACGCUGAUGCGUUGUUGGGUAGGGGAGCGUUCUGUAAGCCUGUGAAGGUGUGCUGUGAGGCAUGCUGGAGGUAUCAGAAGUGCGAAUGCUGACAUAAGUAACGAUAAAGCGGGUGAAAAGCCCGCUCGCCGGAAGACCAAGGGUUCCUGUCCAACGUUAAUCGGGGCAGGGUGAGUCGACCCCUAAGGCGAGGCCGAAAGGCGUAGUCGAUGGGAAACAGGUUAAUAUUCCUGUACUUGGUGUUACUGCGAAGGGGGGACGGAGAAGGCUAUGUUGGCCGGGCGACGGUUGUCCCGGUUUAAGCGUGUAGGCUGGUUUUCCAGGCAAAUCCGGAAAAUCAAGGCUGAGGCGUGAUGACGAGGCACUACGGUGCUGAAGCAACAAAUGCCCUGCUUCCAGGAAAAGCCUCUAAGCAUCAGGUAACAUCAAAUCGUACCCCAAACCGACACAGGUGGUCAGGUAGAGAAUACCAAGGCGCUUGAGAGAACUCGGGUGAAGGAACUAGGCAAAAUGGUGCCGUAACUUCGGGAGAAGG